UGAUGAUGAUGAUGAUGAUGAUGAUGAUGGUGAUGAGACUACGAAGAAGGAGAAAUAAAGAAAGAAAGAGUAAACAACCGUCUACAUCAUCAUCCUCAUCAUCCUCAUCAUCAUCA
rnacentral:miRNA from 1 species